ACAAAGGGAUAGCCUCGGGAAACCGGGAUUAAUACCAUAUGAAGUAUAUUAAUCGCAUGAUAGAUAUAUUAAAACUUUGGUGGUACAGGACGAGUUCGCGUCCCAUUAGCUAGUUGGUGAGAUAAAAGCUUACCAAGGCGACGAUAGGUAGCCGGCCUGAGAGGGUGAACGGCCACACUGGAACUGAGACACGGUCCAGACUCCUACGGGAGGCAGCAGUGGGGAAUAUUGCACAAUGGAGGAAACUCUGAUGCAGCGACGCCGCGUGAGCGAAGAAGGCUUUCGAGUCGUAAAGCUCUGUCCUAAGAGAAGAAGAAGUGACGGUAACUUAGGAGGAAGCCCCGGCUAACUACGUGCCAGCAGCCGCGGUAAUACGUAGGGGGCUAGCGUUGUCCGGAAUUACUGGGCGUAAAGAGCACGUAGGCGGAUUAUUAAGUCAGGUGUGAAAGACCGUGGCUCAACCACGGGGUUGCACUUGAAACUGGAAAUCUUGAGGGCAGGAGAGGGCAGUAGAAUUCCUGGUGUAGCGGUGAAAUGCGUAGAUAUUAGGAAGAACACCAGUGGCGAAGGCGAUUUACUGGACUGUAACUGACACUGAGUCACGAAAGCGUGGGGAGCGAACAGGAUUAGAUACCCUGGUAGUCCACGCUGUAAACGAUGAGUGCUAGGUGUCGGCAAGAGAUUGUCGGUGCCGCAGUUAACGCAUUAAGCACUCCGCCUGGGGAGUACGAUCGCAAGAUUGAAACUCAAAGGAAUUGACGGGGACCCGCACAAGCAGCGGAGCAUGUGGUUUAAUUCGAAGCAACGCGAAGAACCUUACCAAGACUUGACAUCCUCUUGACA
rnacentral:rRNA from 1 species